rnacentral:lncRNA from 1 species
AAUUUAAACUUUAAGUGGUAAACUGAGUCUCGAUGGGAAGUGACUAAAGGUUUUCUGUACUGACCAGUGUUCAUGUCAAUGUAGGUGCCUUAGGAGUACAAAGUGUUGAGGUAUGGGCUCCAGGUCCCCUUACAAUAAGCUGGAGAGGGUGUGCAGGGGGAGCCUCUGUAUAUGUAUGUUGUGCCUUAGGACAAAGUCAUGAUACGUAGCUAAAAGUGAAGUGAGUCUCAAUUAGAAGGAGCAGCAUGUUCACAGCUUGUAUAUAUCUGCAUCUGUAUUUUUGGAUGAGGCCCCAGGACUUGUGGGAACGGUUAGCUUUUGUGUACGCAUGAGCUAUGUGUGUGUUUUAGCAGAGGGCUUUUUUGCUUUUUUGAGAGCAAACAAAUGAAUAAACCAUGCUACAAAGGUGUGUUUAUAUUUUCGCUUUUGUCUGUUAGGGACUGCAGUGAUUUUCUUUCUGCGCUUCCAUAUGUUACAACACUCCAAAAAGCCAGAAAUCCUUGUGAUCACGGGAUAGGAUUAUGUCUGAAAGAAUUGAUGCCAUGCAGGCAGAGACAUCUUUCUUGGUGCUCUCAUUACUAGGAGUCUCCCUACCUCAGCUGAAUCCUCUGGGCUUCAGCCAGCUCAUGGACACUGUGAGGAUGGUGCGACAACUGACAUUAGUUGUGCUUUGUGAACAAAAACAUAAGCAAGUCAUAAGGAAAUUAGAAAAGAAUGACAUUUCAAUACAGGCCUUGACAGAGACAUUUUCACUCCAGAUGUAGUCUGAUAGGUGCCAGAUAACCUGAAGGAGUACUGGCAUGCCCAGAAAUUUGUCAUCUCUUCUUCCCAGCUACAUUGUUUGAUUUAAUGAAGCAUUAUCUCUCCCUGCAGACCCUGGCUGGCUAAAUUACUCUACCUGUGAUUGCUACUGCACUGCCCUUCCCGGACAAUAACCCCCCAGCCGCUGCCUUGUCUGAGUGGCCUGGCAGAUGGUGUGCCUCUGUCCCCAUGGGGUCUCCAUGCUGCUUCUACCAAAGGUUUAUUUGCAGGACAACAUGCAGAAUGGAAAACACCACAUUAUUUCUCAAGGAAAUCACGAGCAUUUUGUGAACUACAGUGGCUACCCAAGACAACUGUCUGAUUGUGUACGGGUUGGUGGUAUUAAUUUUCUUGCCAUCAGACCCAAGGUAACAAAACAGUGUAGGGGACCUUGCACAGGGACACAGUCAGCCCUCUGUGGUGCCAUGUCUGAUCCCCCCCCUGCAGGCUGCCUAGGCCGGUCUCCUGGUAGGGCUGCUCAGCACUUCCCAGUCACUCCUGACCGACAGAUAAAUCCUAGAGAGGUACAUGGUAGCAGUUGUCUGAGGUUUUUCCAAAGGCAACAUUGUACGGGUAACUCACAGAUGGAAAUGGAUGAUGCCUUGUCUCCAGUGACUGAGGCCUGA